AUAAAAUAAGAAUUGAUCUCAAAUCCUAGCAUUUUUGAAGGAAAAGAUAACGCUUAUGUUCGAUCUGUUAUGCAGAUCCAUCCACUUUAUGACUAAAUGCGGUUUCAAAACCCAAUAAAAUUUGAACAUCGUUGUUUUUGUUUUGGGGAAAAAAAAGUUAUAGGAAUUGAUUGUUUUCAUUACAAAAAGGACACACUUUUUAAAUAAAAAAAAUAGGACUUCUGUUCUCAGCACAGGGAGAGAACUCCUAAAUGUUUUUAAGGAGGCCAUUUGGGGGGAUGUGGGCAUAAACCCAUACUCAUUACCCUGUGACCCGGGUAUGAGAAUCAAUCCUCAAAAUGCUAAUUUUGCCCUCGUCCCUAAACAUAUCAAAUGCAAUUUAUUCAAAGGAAAUUCACCAAUCAACCACCCUAAUAAAAUGCCGACCACUCAAUCUUGGGGCUGAGGACGGGUGGGGGCCCAUUCGCCUAACACGGGGUCACCCAGCUUUCAGGGUUCACCUGGAGUGCACCGUCAAACAUAUGUAAUUCAAAGCUAUUCUAUCUUUUGUGUGGAGAGUCAAGAUCGCUAUUAUAACGCUGGCAUCAGGCCUCAACUGAACAGAUGACAGAGACUUGUUCAGCCGGUAAACUUUUGACCCCGAUUUUUCCUCUUCUUUCCACGCUAACUCAAGCACACCAGUCCCACCCCUGUGAGACUGUGCUUCCCGGGUCGAGAUUUAAGGAUGCUCGGGAAGCAGCAAAAUUGAUUUGCAUCAUCUCAUUUUUGUUUCAAUGAGCUGGCUGCGGGUGACACUGAACUUGGCCUGAAGCGAGCUCUGCUGGUGGCUCCACGAGGAUGCAGAUUCAUCUUGCUGCUAUGGCUGACCCCGCAAUGAACCGUGCAAAGAGGGCGAUGGUUAUAUUUUCUCCUGCCUACCAUUGUCUGCCAUGCUGUGCAACUCAUAAAUGACCACCAUUUCUUUUUUCAUUGUGUCACAAUGGUGAUAUUUUCUCCCCAUACGUGACAACGAUUUUGGAAUAGAACAAUGGUUAUACCUUCACGUUCUACUCCACAAAAAAACGAAUACAAGGUUAAAUGUCGUUGCGUUGGUUAUUCGUUUAUACCGUUUUAAGUUUACAGUGGGAGAACUGGGUACGGGAAUUAGGGUUAGGGUCAAUCCAUGUUAGAUCUGUAGAUGAUUCUGAGUUUGUAUUCAAUUGAUCUAUUAAGGUAAAAAGUAAAACUUGCAAUAUAGCUUAAUACAUUUC
ensembl:lncRNA